rnacentral:rRNA from 3 species
CGGGACUCUCACGAGGCCUCGUAAUCGGAAUGAGUACACUUUAAAUAUUUUAACGAGGAACAAUUGGAGGGCAAGUCUGGUGCCAGCAGCCGCGGUAAUUCCAGCUCCAAUAGCGUAUACUAAAUUUGUUGCGGUUAAAAAGCUCGUAGUUGCAUUUGUGCGCCGCGCUGUCGGUGCACCGCAUCCGCGGUGAUACUGACACGUCUGCGGAGCAUAUCGUCGGUGAGCCGCCGGUCAAACGGCGGUUCAAUAUCAAAAUCCUAUCGCGGUGCUCUUCAGUGAGUGUCGAGGUGGGCCGACAAUUUUACUUUGAACAAAUUAGAGUGCUCAAAGCGGGCUCAAAACGCUGCUUGAAUAUUUCGUGCAUGGAAUAAUGGAAUAUGAUCUCGGUUCUAUUUUGUUGGUUUUCAGAACUCCGAGGUAAUGAUUAAUAGGGAUAACUGGGGGCAUUCGUAUUGCGACGUUAGAGGUGAAAUUCUUGGAUCGUCGCAAGACGAACAUCAGCGAAAGCAUUUGCCAAAGGUGUUUUCAUCAAUCAAGAACGAAAGUUAGAGGUUCGAAGGCGAUUAGAUACCGCCCUAGUUCUAACCGUAAAUAUGUCAUCUAGCGAUCCGCCGACGUUAAUCAAAUGGCUCGGCGGGCAGCUUCCGGGAAACCAAAGAUUUUGGACUCCGGGGGGAGUAUGGUUGCAAAGCUGAAACUUAAAGGAA